rnacentral:rRNA from 1 species
CCUACGGGAGGCAGCAGUGAGGAAUAUUGGUCAAUGGCCGGAAGGCUGAACCAGCCAUGCCGCGUGAAGGUCAGUGCCCUAUGGGCGUUAAACUUCUUUUGUGCGGGAGCAAUACUGGUCACGUGUGGCCAGACGAGGGUAACGUACGAAUAAGCCUCGGCUAACUCCGUGCCAGCCGCCGCGGUAAUACGGGGGAUGCAAGCGUUAUCCGGAUUUAUUGGGUUUAAAGGGUGCGUAGGCGGUGAGGUAAGUCAGCGGUGAAAUGCCCCCGCUCAACGGGGUGAAGUGCCAUUGAUACUGCCUUGCUGGAAUGCGGAUGCCGUGUGAGGAAUGUGUGGUGUAGCGGUGAAAUGCAUAGAUAUCACACAGAACACCGAUUGCGAAGGCAUCUCACGAAUCCGCGAUUGACGCUGAUGCACGAAAGCGUGGGUAUCAAACAGGAUUAGAUACCCGGGUAGUC